rnacentral:rRNA from 1 species
UACGGGGGGGGCAAGCGUUGUUCGGAAUUACUGGGCGUAAAGGGCUCGUAGGCGGCCAACUAAGUCGGAUGUGAAAUCCCCAGGCUUAACCUGGGAACUGCAUCCGAUACUGGAUGGCUUGAAUCCGGGAGAGGGAUGCGGAAUUCCAGGUGUGGCGGUGAAAUUCGUAGAUAUUCGGAAGAACACCAGUGGCGAAGGCGGCCAACUGGUCCGGCACUGACGCUGAGGUGCGAAAGCGUGGGGAGCAAACAGG